rnacentral:rRNA from 1 species
UGCAGUCGAACGCGUUGGYCCAAUUGAUUGAUGGUGCUUGCACCUGAUUGAUUUUGGUCGCCAACGAGUGGCGGACGGGUGAGUAACACGUAGGUAACCUGCCCAGAAGCGGGGGACAACAUUUGGAAACAGAUGCUAAUACCGCAUAACAGCGUUGUUCGCAUGAACAACGCUUAAAAGAUGGCUUCUCGCUAUCACUUCUGGAUGGACCUGCGGUGCAUUARCUUGUUGGUGGGGUAACGGCCUACCAAGGCRAUGAUGCAUAGCCGAGUUGAGAGACUGAUCGGCCACAAUGGGACUGAGACACGGCCCAUACUCCUACGGGAGGCAGCAGUAGGGAAUCUUCCACAAUGGGCGCAAGCCUGAUGGAGCAACACCGCGUGAGUGAAGAAGGGUUUCGGCUCGUAAAGCUCUGUUGUUAAAGAAGAACACGUAUGAGAGUAACUGUUCAUACGUUGACGGUAUUUAACCAGAAAGUCACGGCUAACUACGUGCCAGCAGCCGCGGUAAUACGUAGGUGGCAAGCGUUAUCCGGGAUUUAUUGGGCGUAAAGAGAGUGCAGGCGGUUUUCUAAGUCUGAUGUGAAAGCCCUCCGGCUUAACCGGAGAAGUGCAUCGGAAACUGGAUAACUUGAGUGCAGAAGAGGGUAGUGGAACUCCAUGUGUAGCGGUGGAAUGCGUAGAUAUAUGGAAGAACACCAGUGGCGAAGGCGGCUACCUGGUCUGCAACUGACGCUGAGACUCGAAAGCAUGGGUAGCGAACAGGAUUAGAUACCCUGGUAGUCCAUGCCGUAAACGAUGAGUGCUAGGUGUUGGAGGGUUUCCGCCCUUCAGUGCCGGAGCUAACGCAUUAAGCACUCCGCCUGGGGAGUACGACCGCAAGGUUGAAACUCAAAGGAAUUGACGGGGGCCCGCACAAGCGGUGGAGCAUGUGGUUUAAUUCGAAGCUACGCGAAGAACCUUACCAGGUCUUGACAUCUUGCGCCAACCCUAGAGAUAGGGCGUUUCCUUCGGGAACGCAAUGACAGGUGGUGCAUGGUCGUCGUCAGCUCGUGUCGUGAGAUGUUGGGUUAAGUCCCGCAACGAGCGCAACCCUUGUUACUAGUUGCCAGCAUUAAGUUGGGCACUCUAGUGAGACUGCCGGUGACAAACCGGAGGAAGGUGGGGACGACGUCAGAUCAUCAUGCCCCUUAUGACCUGGGCUACACACGUGCUACAAUGGACGGUACAACGAGUCGCGAACUCGCGAGGGCAAGCAAAUCUCUUAAAACCGUUCUCAGUUCGGACUGCAGGCUGCAACUCGCCUGCACGAAGUCGGAAUCGCUAGUAAUCGCGGAUCAGCAUGCCGCGGUGAAUACGUUCCCGGGCCUUGUACACACCGCCCGUCACACCAUGAGAGUUUGUAACACCCAAAGUCGGUGGGGUAACCUUUUAGGAGCCAGCCGCUA